GGUCACGUUACGAAAUUAGAUCUUUAAUUAUUUUUAUAAUUAUUUCCCCUCGGUCUCUCAUUUGAUUUCUUUCAACUUCUCUAAUUUUCUCGUAAAUAAAUAUUUACGUGACGUCACACUUCAGAGUAUGGAACAUACUCUACACCUCAGGUAAUAAUUUGAUUCGUGUGCUGAGAAUUUGACGUUUUGCUCUGUGAAGUGGCGAGACGAGAGACUUCACUUGUGGCUGGGGAUUUGGUUAGUAUGGGUGGCGUGUGAGGAUCAAAUUUGGAGGUUAGACCUCGUGUUAGUAAAAAUGUGUGACUUUUGAAUUAUGGAUCACCAAACCUAUCUAGGAGUGUUUGAGAAUAAAGAAGGUAUUAAUCCAAUGGGAUUUACAGCAUAACAUCAUCGUAUCACACGCCAUCCAUGUGAAAUCUUAAAUAACACCUCGAAACACCAAGAGGCCAAUCUCCAACCAUAAGUCACUGGGAGUAGUUACUUGGGGAACAAGCCUUUUGGGGGCAUUCCAGCUCCUUUUCGUAUUAGCACUUGGACCUACAGGAGGCAUGAUUUUUGCACUAUCCUAGUGCUCAUUUCCGGGAUGCGCCAGCAACCUAUUUAGGAGUCGUUCUGGUUUGUUUGGGAACUACCAGUGGGUGACAUCAGUAACUAUUGUGUGUUUAUCUCCUAUGUUUUAUUUUAAUGCACUGUUUAUUAAUUUUGUUUCAGAUUUAGUUUACCUAUUUAUAUAACAUAUUUCUAUAUUAUGGUAUUAAGUUCCCAAACUCAUGUAUCAUUUUGCGGUACUGUACGUUGAGCUCUGCGUAUUUGCCCAAAAGGUAUUACUUCGAAUAUUUUAUUGUUUAUUUAGGUCGAUUUCAUAUCAUUAUGUAAAUUUAGGUUGUAUUAUUUGCUUGUUUCCCAAAUAUGUUAUUUAUUCGCUUUAUUUCAUUUGUUCAGUUAAUUCGUCGCUACUUUAUUUUAUUACAUUUGCUCGGGUAAUUUAGGUCAUCGUUUCGGUAUUUAUCUUAGCUUCAUUUUUACCACUUUUAUUAAUGCAUUUGCUUAAUUCUUCAUGGUAUUUUCUCUUCGCCAGGCUUGUGCCUAUUUAUUUAUAUUACUUUUAAUAUUCAUCGGUUUUCAAUUCAGUUGUACGUAGCAAGCGUACUAUAACCAUUUGGUAGAAGACUUAUGUAAUUUUGUACCCUAUAUGUAAGUAAGAGGUACUAAUACCUGUAAUUUUGUAACAGAUAACAUUAUUGUUGUUAUCUUAGAUAUAACCUCUGUAUAACUUUUGUCAUGUUAGAGUCACAGCAUAAUAUGAACUUGCUUAACUCAGAGAUUGUUAAAAAUCUGGUAGUUAAUUUUAAUAAAUGUUUAUUUAUUUUGUA
rnacentral:lncRNA from 1 species